rnacentral:rRNA from 1 species
UUCUUGGUUCCCAUUAGAGGAAGUAAAAGUCGUAACAAGGUUUCCGUAGGUGAACCUGCGGAAGGAUCAUUAAAGAGAUCAUGCCCUCACGGGUAGACCUCCCACCCUUUGUUUACAAUACCUUUGUUGCUUUGGCGGGCCCGUUUGGCCCCGCGCUGGACAACCGGCCCCGGCUGGUCAGUGCCCGCCAGAGAACCGAAAACUCUGAAUUAAAUGUCGUCUGAGUACUAUGUAAUAGUUAAAACUUUCAACAACGGAUCUCUUGGUUCUGGCAUCGAUGAAGAACGCAGCGAAAUGCGAUAAGUAAUGUGAAUUGCAGAAUUCAGUGAAUCAUCGAAUCUUUGAACGCACAUUGCGCCCUCUGGUAUUCCGGGGGGCAUGCCUGUUCGAGCGUCAUUACAACCCUCAAGCUCUGCUUGGUAUUGGGCUACACCCGACUGGGUGGGCCUUAAAAUCAGUGGCGGUGCCAUCUGGCUCUAAGCGUAGUAAUUCUUCUCGCUCUGGAGAUCUAGGUGUUUGCUUGCCAGCAACCCCCAAUUUAUCAAAGGUUGACCUCGGAUCAGGUAGGGAUACCCGCUGAACUUAAGCAUAUCAAUAAGNCCGGAGGAA